rnacentral:rRNA from 1 species
GAUGAACGCUGGCGGCGUGCCUAAUACAUGCAAGUCGAACGAAACUUCUUUAUCACCGAGUGCUUGCACUCACCGAUAAAGAGUUGAGUGGCGAACGGGUGAGUAACACGUGGGCAACCUGCCCAAAAGAGGGGGAUAACACUUGGAAACAGGUGCUAAUACCGCAUAACCAUAGUUACCGCAUGGUAACUAUGUAAAAGGUGGCUAUACUACCGCUUUUGGAUGGGCCCGCGGCGCAUUAGCUAGUUGGUAGGGUAAAGGCUUACCAAGGCAAUGAUGCGUAGCCGAAUUGAGAGGUUGAGCGGCCACAUUGGGACUGAGACACGGCCCAAACUCCUACGGGGGGCAGCAGUAGGGAAUCUUCCACAAUGGGCGAAAGCCUGAUGGAGCAACGCCGCGUGGGUGAAGAAGGUCUUCGGAUCGUAAAACCCUGUUGUUAGAGAAGAAAGUGCGUGAGAGUAACUGUUCACGUUUCGACGGUAUCUAACCAGAAAGCCACGGCUAACUACGUG